rnacentral:rRNA from 1 species
UACGUAGGGUGCGAGCGUUAAUCGGAAUUACUGGGCGUAAAGCGUGCGCAGGCGGCGCGUUAAGACAGGUGUGAAAGCCCCGGGCUUAACUUGGGAAUUGCGCUUGUGACUGGCGAGCUGGAGUGUGGCAGAGGGAGGUGGAAUUCCACGUGUAGCAGUGAAAUGCGUAGAUAUGUGGAGGAACACCAAUGGCGAAGGCAGCCCCCUGGGUCAACACUGACGCUCAUGCACGAAAGCGUGGGGAGCAAACAGG